rnacentral:rRNA from 1 species
UAGUCCACGCCGUAAACGAUGUCUACUAGCCGUUGGGAGACUUGAUUUCUUAGUGGCGCAGCUAACGCAAUAAGUAGACCGCCUGGGGAGUACGGCCGCAAGGUUAAAACUCAAAUGAAUUGACGGGGGCCCGCACAAGCGGUGGAGCAUGUGGUUUAAUUCGAUGCAACGCGAAGAACCUUACCAGGUCUUGACAUCCAGAGAACUUUCCAGAGAUGGAUUGGUGCCUUCGGGAACUCUGUGACAGGCGCUGCAUGGCUGUCGUCAGCUCGUGUUGUGAAAUGUUGGGUUAAGUCUCGCAACGAGCGCAACCCUCGUCCUUAGUUGCCAGCAUUAAGUUGGGCACUCUAGGGAGACUGCCUGGGUUAACCAGGAGGAAGGUGGGGAUGACGUCAAGUCCUCAUGGCCCUUAUGUCCAGGGCUACACACAUGCUACAAUGGCGCAUACAGAGGGCAGCGAUACCGCGAGGUGGAGCGAAUCCCAGAAAGU